rnacentral:lncRNA from 1 species
CCGUGACCUGCUGGAGGCCCGAGCGCGACCUCGUCAACGGUGACCACGCCCCACACAAGGUUCGUCCCUAUUCCUCCCUCGUCUCCUCUCGUUUAUUACUUUCUCUCCCAUCCCCAAUCAAAAUUUCUUGCUUCGAUUCAGAUCAGUAGGAGCUCUCUGCCUCUCCAAUUCCAGGGACGGCGACGACCGAGGCCCCACGCUCAAACCCGACGAGCUGGAAUGGCGAGGUCAUCCGAGCCGACCAUCAUGAUUCCCCACAGAACAAUAAGGUUGACUCUCUUGCUCUGUUUUUUUUCUUUCCAAGUACCUGCUGCUCUUCUCUAGCAUAGUUCCCCAGGGGCUCACCAAUUUUCUUGGACUGAACCUGAUGUAGAAAACGUGUCCACUUCGUUUCCGGAUACUUGCAAGCUACAACCAAGUUACAGCCAACGACAGACUAGCACUGCUAGUUAUUUCCUUUUUCUUCUCUCACCAUGUGAGCAUUAGCAGUGUAGAAUUUGUGUUAAAUAACUACUAGUUAGACAAGCUGUGUGGUGGUUCGCGUUUAGUUCCUAAUUAGGCCAUGCCAGUAAUGAAUAAAGCAUAUUAGUGUUCUCCUUUCUAUUGUUAUUAGUCUGGUAUAUCUCUAUAUUUUUAUAUUGUCUUUACUCCCUGGCGUAGUUGCAAACUAAUAAUUAAUGAUGUGCAGAACUUGUCUAAGUUAGAUGUACUCAGUGGCGGAGCUACAACAAAUAAGUUGGGCGGGCCAAUUUUUUUUCUAAACCAUACAGUUAAGUAGGCAUGAGUUAGUGAAAUUUCAGGUUGGCUGUAUAGGGAAACUGGUAACAGGAUGAUGUUGUCAAGUAAAAUUUGGACAAAUAAACGAAAUUUCUUGUGCUCUAGCUGCCUGCUGGUUCUAUGGCCUUGUGCUUGUCGCCUGGGUAGUUCAUCGGUGGCUAGCCGCUGUCAGCCGCCAUGGCAUAGGGAUGGGUCACCGUAGGGGUUGCUACAUGCGGCGCCCGACUUCCUGGCUAUUGGACCUCUCCAUCUUUGAAUGGCUUGCUCAGUGCUGAAUCGAGGCAGAGAGCUCAUAGCUGGAUGCGAGGGAGACAUGCUAUUGGAUUAAGCUGUUACAUGUACAAAAGAGUUUUAUUUGUCUCUGGAGCUGGGCGGGCCAUGACCUUGUUUUGCCCUCACGAAGCUGUGCCAGUGGAUGUACUCAUCUUUGUUGCUGUUAGGAUCAAAUAUCAAUGCUAGUUGAGUCAUACUACCUCCAUCUUGAAAUAUAAGUCGUUUUUAUAGGCUAAACUAGCGUACAAAAAUGUCUUAUAUUUUGAGACGGAGUUAGUACUUAGUUCUGACCAUGCCUAGCUUAAGGACUCAUCGGUAUUCUUGAUAAGAAAAUCCUGCAUAUGUUCGUACAUGUUCCUAUCUGAAUUAAUAUUGGAUGUUUCUUGGUGUGUGCAUGUGACAGUCAACUGUCAAGGCACGUUUUCACAAUAUAUGUUGGUAUAUGGUGUUGUGUAACUUCUAUGAUUGAACAUACCAUGACAAGAUUUAGAAGUAACUUUCUUCCAUCUACAAAAGUUGAGAGGCACUGGGAGAGGCACACAGUUUUACCACUGAAUAAGCUACUCCCUGAGCUAGAGGGAGGGGCACAAGAUUUACCACUGAAUAAGCUGUUCCAUUCUACAUGAUUGAGGCUCUAAAAUGGAAUAAUGAAAUAGUGUAACAAUCUAUAGCUUUAGAGAUUUAGAUGCACACAUAGAUAAUGAAAUAGUGUAACAAUCUAUAGCUUUAGAGAUUUAGAGGCACACAUAGAUAAUGAAAUAGUGUAACAAUCUGCAGGUUUGAAAAGUUUGGUGUUCUUAUUUGAUCUUGGUUUGCAGCAAAUAAUGAUAUUGGUGUUGUCAUUGCACUUUGGGCUCCAAUGAAAUUCUUGUAUGUCUCAAUUCUCUGUCAAAAGUUGUUUUAAUAGUGUGCUAAGUUUGUCGGAUGCUUUGCCCAGGUCUAUCUCAUGGACACCCAGAUUUUGUAUGCAAUUUUCUCAACACCUAGAUUGGAUCUUAAGGUUGGACAUUUUGAUGGGACUGCAGAUCUUCGGAUGUUGGUGCUGAGAUUGAUGUGGCCCUAGCUACAUGUAAGCGAAGCUUAUGAUGUCGAUCCUUCAGGCUGCACUGCCAUCAUGUUACCUCACAAACUACUGGUGGUAAUUUUGCAUCACCACUUAUUAAUUUAUUUAUUAUUGUUCCUGUCAAAUGCUAAUUCUUGUCAAAUAGUAAUUCUUCAGCUGUAUGUUGAUGAUCUCUUAUGGUUGCAAGAGAAAUGUAUCCUUGGGAAAAAUGUCCACAUUCUUAGAUAGGUCUAUUACUGUCUCCUUCAUAGCCUUUUGGUUUUAUUUUCACUAUAUAUCUGUUUUGGUCUAAGUUUCAACUGUCAAGUGUCAACAAUAUGUGGAUAUUGUUCUUUAGGGUAUAUCCAAUUUCUUAAUGCUCUAUAUAAUAGGGUAGGUUCUAGGGUUGGGUAACCUAUUUUUUUGGAAAUUGGUGGUACCCAAAGGUGCUGUUCUGCCAAAUAUUGACAAGUCGAUUCAUGACCAUGUACAAGGAUGGAAAAAUAAUAUACUACUGGACACACCUGUAGAAGUAUGUAUUUGUUUGUUUUCUCAACGCAUAACUAUCCCUUCUUCAAUAUGUACUGUCCCCCUUUGACCAGUGUUUUUGUUUUUCUUAUUCGGAUGAUAUGCACAAGUACUUGACAUUUCAUUUUUUAACCCAUAAGUUGGUGGUUUUAAUUAAUAGGGAUCUACAUGAAACAUGUAUGUAGUAGAUACUAUGUUAUUCUCACUUGUAGCAGUGCAAGAUUUAAGAAUUUUGGACAACAUGAGUUAUUCAUUUUUUAUAUUUGUUUCAAUUCUCUUAUUUUUACAAUCUAUUCACAUCUACAAAUAUCUAAUGGUGUUGUAAACAUGCUAGGUAUGAUUGCGUACUGGGCUACUUGGUGCUGGGCUACUUGGUGCUGCCCAUCACAAUUUGCACUGACAAUUUCCAUCAAGAGGGCCGACAACAAGAACUUGAAUAGCAACUUCAAUAGUUUAAAUGAUCUGUUUGUGUGAACUGGAUUGUACUGUUUUCUAACUUUCCCAAGUGAUGUAUUUUGUCAAUCUAUGUUGUAAACUAUCAUUUCAUGGAGCAUUUUGUAAGCUGCUAUGUUGUAGAUACUUGUGAAUUACUGCAUUUUGAUUCAUAUGUGCAUGUGAGACUGUUUUGAAAUACCCGUCUUGCCAAAAUUGGCAUUACGAUGUGUGUAAUGCAUUCUGGUUAAAAAUAUAGUUUGUGAAAAA